GUGAAUCAUCAAAUUUUUGAACGCAAAUUGCACUCUCCGGUUUUCCGGGAGAGUAUGCCUGUUUGAGGGUCAGCCUAAAUAAAAUCGGCUUAGUAGUUUGCUGUGUUUUUCGCGGUGACGUUAGUCGGAAAUUGGGUCAUCUUAAACCUUUUGGUUUUUAAGCGACUUAAAAUUUUCUUUUGACCCCAUGAACGUUUCUAAGAUUUAUAUCUUUACACGUUUAAGGGUAUCGAUUUUAUUAGACGUGACCGUCGUAUCGGAUCGCGUCCAUAAUAAUUUCUUUAACUGACCUCAGACAGGU
rnacentral:misc_RNA from 1 species